rnacentral:rRNA from 1 species
UGUCCGGAAUUAUUGGGCGUAAAGAGCUCGUAGGUCGUUUGUUACGUCGGAUGUGAAAACCUGAGGCUCAACCUCAGGCCUGCAUUCGAUACGGGCAAACUAGAGUUUGGUAGGGGAGACUGGAAUUCCUGGUGUAGCGGUGGAAUGCGCAGAUAUCAGGAGGAACACCAAUGGCGAAGGCAGGUCUCUGGGCCAAUACUGACACUGAGGAGCGAAAGUCUGGGGAGCAAACAGGAUUAGAUACCCUGGUAGUCCAGACCGUAAACGGUGGGCACUAGUUGUGGGAACCUUCCACGGUUUCUGCGACGCAGCUAACGCAUUAAGUGCCCCGCCUGGGGAGUACGAUCGCAAGAUUAAAACUCAAAGGAAUUGACGGGGCCCCGCACAAGCAGCGGAGCAUGCGGCUUAAUUCGACGCAACGCGAAGAACCUUAGCAAGGCUUGACAUAUAGGGAAAAGUGGCAGAGAUGUCGUGUCCGCAAGGGCUCUAUAGAGGUGGUGCAUGGUUGUCGUCAGCUCGUGUCGUGAGAUGUUG